UGUAGGGUGAACCUGCGGAAGGAUCAUU
rnacentral:rRNA from 1 species